GAUGAACGCUGGCGGCGUGCCUAAUACAUGCAAGUCGAGCGAACAGACGAGGAGCUUGCUCCUCUGUCGUUAGCGGCGGACGGGUGAGUAACACGUGACUAACCUACCUAUAAGACUGGGAUCACUUCGGGAAACCGGAGUUAAUACCGGAUAAUAUAUUGAACCGCAUGGUUCAAUAGUGAAAGAUGGUUUUGUUGUCACUUAUAGAUGGAUCCGCGCUGCAUUAGCUAGUUGGUAAGGUAACGGCUUACCAAGGCAACGAUGCGUAGCCGACCUGGGAGGGUGAUCGGCGGCACUGGAACUUGGACGCGGUCCAGGCGCCUGCGGGAGGCAGCAGUAGGGAAUGUUACGCAAUGGGCGAGAACCUGACGGAGCGACGCCGCGUGAGUGAUGGAGGUGUUCGGAUCGUAAAGCUCUGUUAUUAGGGGAGAACAAAUGUGUAAGUGGCUGUGCACGUCUUGACGGUACCUAAUCAGAAAGCCACGGCUAACUACGUG
rnacentral:rRNA from 1 species